ACGUGCUGCGGGGUCGGUGAAAGUCCGAGCCGGCGGUGACAGUCCGCGACCCGCAGCCGUGGCCGGUUCGUCCGGCCCCGGUGGCGGUUGACCUGGUGGAACUCCAGGACCGACGGUGAAAGUCCGGAUGGGAGGAAGCACGG
rnacentral:ncRNA from 2 species